GUAGGUGUAGCUAACAAACUAGCAGAUCUGUAUAUACACAUAAACAUAACUGUGGGAUAGGGUUGGGGGUGA